rnacentral:rRNA from 1 species
UACGUAGGGUGCAAGCGUUAAUCGGAAUUACUGGGCGUAAAGCGUGCGCAGGCGGCUAUGCAAGUCAGAUGUGAAAUCCCCGGGCUCAACCUGGGAACUGCAUUUGUGACUGCAUAGCUAGAGUACGGUAGAGGGGGAUGGAAUUCCGCGUGUAGCAGUGAAAUGCGUAGAUAUGCGGAGGAACACCGAUGGCGAAGGCAAUCCCCUGGACCUGUACUGACGCUCAUGCACGAAAGCGUGGGGAGCAAACAGG